ensembl:lncRNA
UGACAAUGAGUCCUGUAGUCAAACAGAGGAGUGGAAAAGGUUACCAACAGGUUUUUCAAGAUCCUUGAGGUCGACCCAUCACGCCGUCCUUCGUUCACCCUCGGACAGCAACUGUCAUCCCUCCCCCGCCCGCCGCCUUCCUACCUGCAGGACUUGAGCUCAUUGUUUUUGCCCUGCUGAUUAACCUCUACCCGCCCUGAAGGAAUGUCUCACAUUGGGUUCUGGAUGAAUACGGGCUGAGCCGGCACCAAAACAGGACCAGCUUUUUCUGAUGAGUUCCAGCCGCUUGGGCCCUGGGCGAGCCAGCUGGCUGUGAUUGGCAGCUGCUAAGGAGGGUAGUGCGGCUGUUAGAGGAAGAAAAACGAGUUUACGCUCCACAAUUAGCAACGAGAGAGAGGGGCCCUAUAUGACUGAUUGAAAUUGUGUCCAAACCUCAAUGUUUCAAAUGUCCUAGUGGUUAAAGCUGCGUGACAACACAGAAGUGUACUGAAG